GCCUGGGCGACAGAGCGAGACCCUGUUGCUACAUCUGGUGACCUGUGGUCGGGAGAGCAGGGGCCGUGUGGACCUCGGAAAGGACGGACAGUGAGUGCAUCAGCCACAGGACUGUCUCCCAGCCCCUUCUGGAACCUUCCAGGCCUGUUUUCCUCCAGAGCUGGAUGGCCCCAGGAAGGGAACAGCCACAAGAGGGCAGCAGCCAUCGUUAGGGCUGCCCCUCCUGUCACUCCGGAGCCCAGGCCCUGCAGCAGGGGACCUUGAGGCGCACCCAUGGGCGCACAGCAGCUGCCCCAGCCAUGCCGGAGCCUUCAUGGGCUCAUCUCGGACACUGGCACCUGAACCAGCAGCAGGCCACCAGAUGUCACUGCUGUCCCACGCCCGCCCGUGGGCCCCUGCGCUGUUACCUGCAGCAAACUCCUCGAUGGUCAUCAGUGGGAAGCGGAUGAGGCCCAGAGCCUUGCCCAGAACCUUCCGCCGGUUCUCAGGCGUCACCUGCAGCUGCUGCCGCUGACACUCAGCCUCAGACCAGCGGACAACGGCGUUGAACAGCCGCACUUCACGGAUGCCCAGCGUGUCGCGCUCCAGGACGGCCACUAGCGUGUCUGCAGGGUGGGGAAGGGGCUGCGUGAACAGGACACCCGCGUGCCCACCCUGCAGGAAGCAGGGAGACUAACAAGAACCAGCAGUUACAGCUGCACCGGCCACUGCGGCCCCAAACCCGGCCCUGUGCUUGUAUGUGUAAAUAAAGCUUUAUCGACACA